GGGUGACUGCGUACCUUUUGUAUAAUGGGUCAGCGACUUAUAUUCUGUAGCAAGGUUAACCGAAUAGGGGAGCCGGAGGGAAACCGAGUCUUAAUUGGGCGUUAAGUUGCAGGGUAUAGACCCGAAACCCGGUGAUCUAGCCAUGGGCAGGUUGAAGGUUGGGUAACACUAACUGGAGGACCGAACCGACUAAUGUUGAAAAAUUAGCGGAUGACCUGUGGCUGGGGGUGAAAGGCCAAUCAAACCGGGAGAUAGCUGGUUCUCCCCGAAAGCUAUUUAGGUAGCGCCUCGUGAAUUCAUCUCCGGGGGUAGAGCACUGUUUCGGCUAGGGGGCCAUCCCGGCUUACCAACCCGAUGCAAACUGCGAAUACCGGAGAAUGUUAUCACGGGAGACACACGGCGGGUGCUAACGUCCGUCGUGAAGAGGGAAACAACCCAGACCGCCAGCUAAGGUCCCAAAGUCAUGGUUAAGUGGGAAACGAUGUGGGAAGGCCCAGACAGCCAGGAUGUUGGCUUAGAAGCAGCCAUCAUUUAAAGAAAGCGUAAUAGCUCACUGGUCGAGUCGGCCUGCGCGGAAGAUGUAACGGGGCUAAACCAUGCACCGAAGCUGCGGCAGCGACGCUGAUGCGUUGUUGGGUAGGGGAGCGUUCUGUAAGCCUGCGAAGGUGGCCUGUGAGGGUUGCUGGAGGUAUCAGAAGUGCGAAUGCUGACAUAAGUAACGAUAAAGCGGGUGAAAAGCCCGCUCGCCGGAAGACCAAGGGUUCCUGUCCAACGUUAAUCGGGGCAGGGUGAGUCGACCCCUAAGGCGAGGCCGAAAGGCGUAGUCGAUGGGAAACGGGUUAAUAUUCCCGUACUUGGUGUUACUGCGAAGGGGGGACGGAGAAGGCUAUGUUGGCCGGGCGACGGUUGUCCCGGUUUAAGCGUGUAGGUGUGUGUUCCAGGUAAAUCCGGUUCACUUUAACACUGAGGCGUGAUGACGAGGCACUACGGUGCUGAAGCAACAAAUGCCCUGCUUCCAGGAAAAGCCUCUAAGCAUCAGGUAACAUCAAAUCGUACCCCAAACCGACACAGGUGGUCAGGUAGAGAAUACCAAGGCGCUUGAGAGAACUCGGGUGAAGGAACUAGGCAAAAUGGUGCCGUAACUUCGGGAGAAGGCACGCUGACACGUAGGUGAAGUGAUUUACUCAUGGAGCUGAAGUCAGUCGAAGAUACCAGCUGGCUGCAACUGUUUAUUAAAAACACAGCACUGUGCAAACACGAAAGUGGACGUAUACGGUGUGACGCCUGCCCGGUGCCGGAAGGUUAAUUGAUGGGGUCAGCGCAAGCGAAGCUCCUGAUCGAAGCCCCGGUAAACGGCGGCCGUAACUAUAACGGUCCUAAGGUAGCGAAAUUCCUUGUCGGGUAAGUUCCGACCUGCACGAAUGGCGUAAUGAUGGCCAGGCUGUCUCCACCCGAGACUCAGUGAAAUUGAACUCGCUGUGAAGAUGCAGUGUACCCGCGGCAAGACGGAAAGACCCCGUGAACCUUUACUAUAGCUUGACACUGAACAUUGAGCCUUGAUGUGUAGGAUAGGUGGGAGGCUUUGAAGUGUGGACGCCAGUCUGCAUGGAGCCG
rnacentral:rRNA from 1 species